rnacentral:rRNA from 1 species
UAUUUAUAAUUCAUAAGCGGAGGAAAAGAAACCACCAGGGAUUGCCCUAGUAACGGCGAGUGAAGCGGCAACAGCUCAAAUUUGAAAUCUGGCUUCGGCCCGAGUUGUAAUUUGCAGAGGAAGCUUUAGGCGCGGCACCUUCUGAGUCCCCUGGAACGGGGCGCCAUAGAGGGUGAGAGCCCCGUAUAGUUGGAUGCCUAGCCUGUGUAAAGCUCCUUCGACGAGUCGAGUAGUUUGGGAAUGCUGCUCAAAAUGGGAGGUAAAUUUCUUCUAAAGCUAAAUACCGGCCAGAGACCGAUAGCGCACAAGUAGAGUGAUCGAAAGAUGAAAAGCACUUUGAAAAGAGGGUUAAAUAGCACGUGAAAUUGUUGAAAGGGAAGCGCUUGUGACCAGACUUGCGCCGGGCGGAUCAUCCGGUGUUCUCACCGGUGCACUCCGCCCGGCUCAGGCCAGCAUCGGUUCUCGCGGGGGGAUAAAGGUCCUGGGAACGUAGCUCCUCCGGGAGUGUUAUAGCCCGGGGCGUAAUGCCCUCGCGGGGACCGAGGUUCGCGCAUCUGCAAGGAUGCUGGCGUAAUGGUCAUCAGCGACCCGUCUUGAAACACGGACCAAGGAGUCAAGGUUUUGCGCGAGUGUUUGGGUGUAAAACCCGCACGCGUAAUGAAAGUGAACGUAGGUGAGAGCUUCGGCGCAUCAUCGACCGAUCCUGAUGUUUUCGGAUGGAUUUGAGUAGGAGCGUUAAGCCUUGGACCCGAAAGAUGGUGAACUAUGCUUGGAUAGGGUGAAGCCAGAGGAAACUCUGGUGGAGGCUCGCAGCGGUUCUGACGUGCAAAUCGAUCGUCAAAUCUGAGCAUGGGGGCGAAAGACUAAUCGAACCAUCUAGUAGCUGGUACCGCAGAUUUUUCCUC